AGUGAAUGUAGGGCCAUUGUUUUGUUUCAAAUGGCUGCAGUAUCACCCAUUUUUAAGACAUUUUAACCACAUUUCUCGGGUAUUUGUUUCGUCAACCUUCUCAUCUUGACUUUGAUUAUUUUUGACCGGCCGUUGGAGAUAACAGUAGUUUUGCAGCAGAACACUUGAGAAAUCGCGGACAACGUCGAUGGAUUUCCUAUCUAUGACCGGACUCAGAAGUCAUGCAUGUUUAAAUUCAACAGCUCGAUUUAUUUACCUCGUACUUCUGCCAUAUAAGUUUGUGUAAGAAUGUUCAUAAAGGACUCGUGUAUGCGUGUUUUCGAUAGGAUCUUGUUACGUUUAGAUGUAAAAAAUGGAUGAAUUGCUUAUUCUCUCAUAAAAUAAAUAUUGAUCGAAGUGGGAUACUUUGGAAGAUCCACUAUGAGGCACGGGAUGGAUCAGGCCAAAAGGGGGAAAACAAUGAUGAAUCUUGUGAACUAGAGUGGCAUUAUUGAUUACUUUUGGGGAUGUUAGUGGUCACUUUAUAUAUGCAACAGCGGCAAGAAAAAAAAUAAAAAAAAAGAAGUGCUUCAUGGUACUUUUUUUUAGGUACUUGUAGGUGUCUGCAGACUCCGCGGACAAAUACCUGUUAGAAGUUUAUGAGUUGUGGGAAUUAAGUGUUUGACCCUCUCCUCACUCUAUCUUACUUUCUUGAUUUUGGGUUUGAGAAGAAUUUUAAUUUUCGAGCCUACUUAAAAGAAAGGGUCAAAAUAAAAAAUGUCAAGGUCAUCAAAAUAAAUUCAUUUGUUGACGUCAUUUAAACAAAAUAAAAUAUUCUCAAAGUAGCCAUUUUUUCGUUUUUCAUUUGUGAGAAGAUGCUAAAACAGAGAUGAAAGAUGGAGAUGGAUCGAGAGAGAGAGAUAUUGAGAAGUACAGAUCGAGAGAGAAAAAAAUGAGAGAAUGGUUACAAAUUUGAUUUUGAGUUUUCUGCUUCCGAUCUAAAUUGACUAAAAGGAUAUAAACAAUAGAUUUGUAAGAUUAGAUCCAGGUUGCAGAUUCAGUUUAAUGAUCUUAUCAAUUUUAGACUGCUAAAGUUGCUCCUGAUGGUGAUGAUUUUGAUUCAUAUUAUACUCGUGUUUAAGGUGUUUUUAGGUGUAGAGACUAUCCAAGAAACUGAGGAGAUAAUUAACGAAAUGAAAGAAAAUGACCCGAUGCGGCUACUGAAUCUAGAGGUUCUAAGGAUAGUGUGUCGUAUCCAGAUAUUUUCUGCUCAUACCAGAUCUUGUGGAUAUUCUCUGCACAUAGUGAACUAUGGAUAUAUUCUAUAAAGACUAAAGUACAGUACACACUGUAUAUAUUUACAUUGAUCCUGGUUUUACAAGUGAGUGUUAUCGUAAUGCCUAUUCACAUCCAAUUCCUCUCAUUCCUGAUGUCAAGAAACCAAAUGAAGUUGAUGAACGCACUAAGGUCAACGCUCCUUCUGUUAUUAAAGGACUUGGAAGACAGAAAAAAAUAGGUAUAUACCUCGUUCUGAGAAGCCAAGAAAGAAACGGAUGUGUGGUAACUGUAGAAAGCCAACUUUUCACAACAAGAGAUAUCUGGAUCCUCCUGGUGAAGCUCCAAUCACAAGU